UUAUUUGCGUCGGUACGAGACGGAGUGCCGCGAGGCGGGGCGCGGUGUGUGGAGGCCGGUACGGGGCGCGCGGCGGCCGCGGAGGGCGGGGCGGGGCGUGCCGGAGUGGUGUGCUGCAGCUGGCGGAGGAAGGAGAGGGUUAGGGUAGAGGAGGAGUGGGUGCCGAAAGAACCGGCAAGUGACGAGGGGAGCAACGCUGGAGCGCCCUCCGUCUCCUACCCUCCCACGCCGCGAGCGCCCGGCUAGACGCGGCGGUCCUGAGCGGGCUGGGCGCCCUGCGAGCUAGGCCACUGCGUGGUCAGCGGCCAGUAGCCGGGCCGGCUGGCUGCUGCCUCUAGCGUUGUGGGACGUGAUAAUAAGACGGAGUCGAGUAGGAAGGAGCUACACACGACGGACCCUCCCGCGCGCGAGCGGCGAGCUGGUCUCGGUGUGCCGGUAGGCCAGUAGCAACGUGAGCGGCGGGGGAGACGAGGAGGUGGAGUUGAAGCCUGUGUGCACAUAAAGACACGGGUGGGGUACAAUGGUCUCCUUUGGCGCACGGUCAGAGAGACCUACUGAAAAUAAAAGACGACUCCUAGUGCUCAAACGUGUCAAAGUACUACAGUUUAAUGACGUAUACAUCACGAAGAACAGUUGUCCCUAUCUUAAUCGACCAGUAUCCAACACCUACAAGAAUCAAUAAAAAACGUGUGUUCCACAAACCCACAAACAGGCUCGGGCAAAGUCAGUGUCUAGGAACUCCAAUUGAGGGUGUACUUAUGUAGUACUCUUAUUGAGAGGAAGGUAUACUAAGUUUUUUACCAUACUACCACCUUGAGUUAGCCCAACGAUCUGAUUACACCGCAACCACGCACGUAGACCUACAUGCAGUCACAAGUGUCGGUCUCCUUCACCCAACAAUGUCCGUCUCCGCCUAAUCCUACUCAUACAGUGCUAAUCCUCUCAAGAGAACUAGAAAUAGCCUUUUUAACUAUCAAAGGAAUUAAAAAAAACCAGAUCUAAUCGUUUCGUCACGUGACUAUAAACAAGACACCACAUCCUCGAAGUUCUGUCGUCCCCGUCGUCCGAAGCGAGUUGUAUAAGUAGAUACUAAAAGAGGCACUAAAACUUUAAUAAACCGGGGAUAUCAGGGGAACUCUUUUUAGUCUUAUAAAUACCUGAUACGAGAUGACCAACUGUUUAAACUAACGUCCCCGACCGUUUCAUUCACGUCACAGUGGCAACGUGUAUAUAAGUCCCGGUGUAGUUUAAAGUCAGUCUUCUUGUACUGGUCCGUCCCACGAAGUACGUCAUAACCCUCACUCUUUCAAACUACAUAUUAGUCACAGCGGAGGUGAGACGGGGCGGGGACACGAAAAAGGAGCUACCUUUACGCCCGGUGGUACGGCGAGUGAAGCGCACGUUGGUGAAGUAGAGGUUGGACAGCAACCUCUCGUAACGUCUGGCUCGCCUGUUUACUGCUCCACAUCGUCGUGUUGGAACGGAGAAGGGGAAUGAUAGGAAGUGUUCGCUCGGUUUCUGUGGGGUUCAACACCGUGGGCAGACUCCGGUCGGAACGAACCGUAUGUACCGACGUAUGUACACUACCCUUUGUACGUACCUUCGAACCCGGACCUAUACGUUAAUACGGAAGGAUUCAAAAUGACUACGUUAAAGAAAAACUUUCUCGGGACUUUAGUAAAUGGGAAAACGAGGACUCUUAACAAAUGGUAACACUUAACAUAGUUACCAGCUUUACCAGUUAAUUGCUGUAUCUGGCUCUAUGGUAUUUUGGGGAAGUCAUCUAGCUGACUUUAUACUUGUAAGAACCGGGUUUCAAUGUCCUAACGUGGUUAAUUAACGAUUGGAGAACCAAAAUUACUAUUAACAAGAUGGUAUACACAAAAAAGAUGAUCGUAGGGUAGGUGUUACAGUCAACCUUAAUAUAUAUAUAUAGAAUCUGUCAAUCACUCUACAUAAGACGCUCUACACAAGUUUAGAGAUAUAAAAAGGUACUAUAAUUGUUAAAAAGAAACUUACAAAUUCACUUGCAAGAGAUUUUAAAGUAAAAGUCAAUUCAGACCAGAAAGAAACCCAUUAAAUAUAUCAUUCCAGACGUUCUUAACUUACGUCUAGUUGAUAAGGGGGGGAAACGUAAAUGACGUUACGUAUAAAUGGACCUCGAUCGUAGUGUAUGACAUACAGUUCACGGUUCAGUCAAAAGUGAUUUAUGUUUAAUUUUAUAUAUAUAUACUUGGAAAAGUAAUCGAAACCGACGUGCAAAGACCUAUUACAGUUAUAGUUAUAAACAUUCAUGAGAAUACUUGAGUAUACUACGUAGAGGGUGAAAAAAAAUAGACGUUCCAUGGACUGUAUCACAAACCUGUCUGAAUAAAGACCAUCAUUGAAGAGGUAACACUUUGAUGAAAGGUGAUGUCAUCGAACGCCUGUUACACCCGAUGAUGUUCUGGCUCUGGACGUAAUUUUCUACUAAUGUAAAUCCUCACUUACCACUUCUUUUAGUGGUUUUACCUUCCUCAAGACAUAAUACUAGAUAAUGUUACACGAACUUCGUUAUGUCUUGGUACUAAUAUGAACCAUAUCAUGUUUGAUUUACAUGUUAUGUCUGAAGGUUCAUCUUAGAAACCGGAUGUCGAGUGGACAAUAGACAGUGAAAUCGUCAAUGAACCCACCCUGUUGGUUACAUAUCUAUUCUUUACGGCUUUGCUUCUAUUAGUGGGGAUGAUUCCAUGUAUAACCCGAACAAGUGUUGUAGUUCAAUCUGGAGAGCCGAGAAAACUAACCUAGCUGAAGAAGACUGUUACCUAUGAGUUACGCGGCACCCAAUGUCCAGUGUAUAAACAAGCCACUCUUGAGACUCUUAUCCCAGAAGAAGGGAAAGAAGAAUUUUGAUCUGGUUCGGAAUAGGGUCAGCCAACUACUACAUAGUGGACUUUUCAAUCUAUUCUCUUUACUAAGUUGGACGUUUGUACAAAAGUAGCAUUGGACAAUAUUGUUUGAUACACGCUGUCCUGGAAAAAUUAGAUUGAAGUUUUUCCUUGAAGUGUUAGGUGGUGAGUAAUAGGUAGUUUAAAUAUAUACAUGUAGAUAUGUAGAUAGAGAGGGAUUAUUAUUAAGAAAGGGAUUAGAUAGGGAUUAUUAUUUCGUACCUAACUGAAACAGCCUAAGUGGCAGUGUUAUGCGAAGGAAAGAUAUUUAAAUGCGAAAGUCAAACUUAAAUUUUGUAUAUGUGCUCCACUAUGAUUUCACAUUCUUUUUUUUGACGAAAAGCAGCAAACUCCGUCCGGGAUAAUAAAAACGGGACUUAAGCGUCGCUGUUGGACGCACCCCUAGCUUGAGUGCAGGAGGGUGAUUCGGACAUUCUGGCUCUGGUUAACUCGACGAUAGGACCUUAUAAGUGAAAAUGACUUCAGAUUCUUAUAAUGAGGGGGGUAAGGUAUUAUAUUCUCACAAAAACUGUGAUGUGAUAAACACCAACACGAUCUGAUAUUUCUUGGUCUUAACAUAAAUAAAUAAAACAGAGGUAACGUUCCAACAACCGUGUACAAAGAUAUUUAUCACACCUACGUUGAAUAUGUACCAAGUAGAAAGUACAUUUGCUAAAAACUGAGAGCCGUACCUCGGUUUAAUACGUCUUGAACUUUUGCUUGGAAAUUCAUUCAAAUGUUUUAAAGACGUUUUUUAUUAGUGCACGAAUACCUAUAUAUGAUGUAUAGUGAUCUAAUAAC
rnacentral:rRNA from 1 species